ensembl:lncRNA
CAGAGCACAGGAAGGAGGGCUAGUCAGAGCACAGGAAUGAGGGGCUAGUCAGAGCACAGGGAGGAGGGGCUAGUCAGAGCAGAGGGAGGAGGGGCUAGUCAGAGCACAGGGAGGAGGGGCUACUCAGAGCACAGGAAGGAGGGGCUAGUCAGAGCACAGGGAUGUGGGGCUAGUCAGAGCACAGUGAGGAGGUGCCAGUCAGAGCACAGGGAGAAGGGGCUAGUCAGAGCAAAGGGAUGUGGGGCUAGUCAGAGCACAGGGAGGAGGGGCUAGUUAGAGCACAGGAAGAAGGGGCUAGUCAGAGCACAGGGAGGAGGGGCUAGUCAGAGCACAGGGAUGUGGGGCUAGUCAGAGCACAGGGAGGAGGGGCUAUGGGGUGGGGCUAGU